AACAUUUAUAUAUCGUAUUUUCAUAUAAUCGCAGGGAUAUGGCCUGCAAGUUUCUACCGGUUUACCGUAAAUGAACCGACUAUGAAAAAAGCAAUAGUAUGG
rnacentral:ncRNA from 1 species